CACCACUCAAGCCCGGCUUGGUGUUGGGGCGCCCGGCCGCCUGGCGGUCGGGGCCCCCAAGUACAUCGGCGGUCCUGCUGGGGCUCCGAGCGCAGUAACUCGCGGUAAAACGCGCCCUCGCUCGGCGGCCUCUUCGGGCUUCCAGCCGCUAAACCCCCAGUGACGUUGUUCA
rnacentral:misc_RNA from 1 species